rnacentral:rRNA from 1 species
AUAAGCGGAGGAAAAGAAACCAACAGGGAUUGCCUCAGUAACGGCGAGUGAAGCGGCAACAGCUCAAAUUUGAAAUCUGGCCCCGUUGCGGUGUCCGAGUUGUAAUUUGUAGAGGAUGCUUCGGCGUUGGCCCCGGCCUAAGUUCCUUGGAACAGGACGUCACAGAGGGUGAGAAUCCCGUACGUGGCCGGUGUCCCUCGCCAUGUGAAGCUCCUUCGACGAGUCGAGUUGUUUGGGAAUGCAGCUCUAAAUGGGAGGUAAUUUCUUCUAAAGCUAAAUACCGGCCAGAGACCGAUAGCGCACAAGUAGAGUGAUCGAAAGAUGAAAAGCACUUUGGAAAGAGAGUCAAAAAGUACGUGAAAUUGUUGAAAGGGAAGCGCUUGCAACCAGACCUGCCCGCGGUCGCUCAUCCAGGCUCCUGCCUGGUGCACUCUUCCGCGGUCAGGCCAGCAUCGGUUCGGGCGGUCGGACAAAGACGGUGGGAAUGUGGCUCCCCUCGGGGAGUGUUAUAGCCCACCGUGCAAUGCGGCCAGUCCGGACCGAGGUCCGCGCUUCGGCUAGGAUGCUGGCGUAAUGGUUGUAAGCGGCCCGUCUUGAAACACGGACCAAGGAGUCUAACAUCUGUGCGAGUGUUUGGGUGUCAAGCCCGGGCGCGUAAUGAAAGUGAACGGAGGCGGGAACCCUUGGGUGCACCGUCGACCGAUCCUGAUGUCUUCGGAUGGAUUUGAGUAAGAGCAUAGCUGUUGGGACCCGAAAGAUGGUGAACUAUGCCUGAAUAGGGUGAAGCCAGAGGAAACUCUGGUGGAGGCUCGCAGCGGUUCUGACGUGCAAAUCGAUCGUCAAAUUUGGGCAUAGGGGCGAAAGACUAAUCGAACUAUCUAGUAGCUGGUUCCUGCCGAAGUUUCCCUCAGGAUAGCAGUAACGUUUUCAGUUUUAUGAGGUAAAGCGAAUGAUUAGAGGCCUGGGGGUUGAAACAACCUUCACCUAUUCUCAAACUUUAAAUAUGUAAGAAGUCC